rnacentral:rRNA from 1 species
UACGGAGGGUGCGAGCGUUAAUCGGAAUUACUGGGCGUAAAGGGUGCGUAGGUGGUUAGAUAAGUUAUCUGUAAAAGCCCUGGGCUUAACCUGGGAAGGCCAGAUAAAACUGUAUAACUGGAGUAUGGGAGAGGGUAGUGGAAUUUCCGGUGUAGCGGUGAAAUGCGUAGAGAUCGGAAGGAACACCAGUGGCGAAGGCGGCUACCUGGCCUAAUACUGACACUGAAGUACGAAAGCGUGGGGAGCAAACAGGAUUAGAUACCCUGGUAGUCCACGCUGUAAACGAUGUCAACUAGCUGUUGGUCAUAUGAAUGUGAUUAGUGGCGAAGCUAACGCGAUAAGUUGACCGCCUGGGGAGUACGAUCGCAAGAUUAAA